UUGCAAAGGAGGGGGUUAGCCAUCAUGUUUGG
rnacentral:tRNA from 1 species